rnacentral:rRNA from 1 species
GCAUGAUGCAGUGUGAAAAACUCCGGUGGUAUAAGAUGGACCCGCGUUGGAUUAGCUAGUUGGUGAGGUAACGGCCCACCAAGGCGACGAUCCAUAGCCGACCUGAGAGGGUGACCGGCCACAUUGGGACUGAGACACGGCCCAAACUCCUACGGGAGGCAGCAGUGGGGAAUAUUGCACAAUGGGCGAAAGCCUGAUGCAGCGACGCCGCGUGAGCGAAGAAGUAUUUCGGUAUGUAAAGCUCUAUCAGCAGGGAAGAUAAUGACGGUACCUGACUAAGAAGCACCGGCUAAAUACGUGCCAGCAGCCGCGGUAAUACGUAUGGUGCAAGCGUUAUCCGGAUUUACUGGGUGUAAAGGGAGCGCAGGCGGUGCGGCAAGUCUGAUGUGAAAGCCCGGGGCUCAACCCCGGUACUGCAUUGGAAACUGUCGUACUAGAGUGUCGGAGGGGUAAGCGGAAUUCCUAGUGUAGCGGUGAAAUGCGUAGAUAUUAGGAGGAACACCAGUGGCGAAGGCGGCUUACUGGACGAUAACUGACGCUGAGGCUCGAAAGCGUGGGGAGCAAACAGGAUUAGAUACCCUGGUAGUCCACGCCGUGAACGAUGAAUACUAGGUGUUGGGAAGCAUUGCUUCUCGGUGCCG